GGGUGACCCGUGGUCAGUGUGACAGCAGAGAGACGUCAGCGCUGACUAAACAUGGCAGACAGAAGAGGAGCCGCUGUAGAUACAAACGUCUCAUUCUAAGAAGAAAUGUUCUGUCCCCCCAUGAGGUGCUGUGGAAAUAUCACAGGAGGAUGAAGAAGAUGUAGUUGAAAGCUCAGACGAAGAAGCAAAUAAGAGGACCUUGAUUCUUCUGUGUCGUUGUUACACUUAUGAAAUAUCACAGGAUGAUGUUUAAGAAGAAGUACAAGUAACAAGUACAGGACCUUGAGAACCAACGUUCUCCCGCA